rnacentral:rRNA from 1 species
CCAGACUCCUACGGGAGGCAGCAGUGGGGGAUAUUGCACAAUGGGGGGAACCCUGAUGCAGCGACGCCGCGUGGGCGAUGGAGUACUUCGGUAUGUAAAGCCCUAUCAGCAGGGAAGAAAAUGACGGUACCUGACUAAGAAGCCCCGGCUAAAUACGUGCCAGCAGCCGCGGUAAUACGUAUGGGGCAAGCGUUAUCCGGAUUUACUGGGUGUAAAGGGAGCGCAGGCGGCACGGCAAGUCUGGUGUGAAAGCCCGGGGCCCAACCCCGGGACUGCAUUGGAAACUGCCGGGCUGGAGUGCCGGAGGGGCAGGCGGAAUUCCUGGUGUAGCGGUGAAAUGCGCAGAUAUCAGGAAGAACACCGGUGGCGCAGGCGGCUUGCUGGACGACAACUGACGGUGAGGCGCGAAAGCGUGGGGAGCAAACAGGAUUAGAUACCCGAGUAC